UAAUGUGGGUAUCUGCCCUUUGGUUUGGAAUAACACGAGGAAACUUGUGCUAAUACCGGAUAAGCCUUCACAGGGAAAGCUUUAGCGCCAAAGGAUGAGCUCGCACUUGAUUAGCUAGUUGGUAGGGUAAUGGCCUACCAAGGCAACGAUCAAUAGCUGUUCUUAGAGGAAGACCAGCCACAUUGGGACUGAGACACGGCCCAAACUCCUACGGGAGGCAGCAGUGGGGAAUCUUGCACAAUGGGGGAAACCCUGAUGCAGCGAUGCCGCGUGAGUGAAGAAGGCCUUUGGGUUGUAAAGCUCUUUCGUCGGGGAAGAAAAUGACUGUACCCGAAUAAGAAGGUCCGGCUAACUUCGUGCCAGCAGCCGCGGUAAUACGAAGGGACCUAGCGUAGUUCGGAAUUACUGGGCUUAAAGAGCUCGUAGGUGGUUAAGAAAGUUGGUGGUGAAAUCCCAAGGCUUAACCCUUG
rnacentral:rRNA from 1 species